GAAGCGCUCCAGACCGCCGCUGGUGCAAGUCCCGAAAGGGCGCACUGGAGGAAGGUCCGGACUGCACAGAGCAGCGUAGUGGGUAACACCCAUCCCUCGUGAGGGGCGGAUCAGAGCAACAGAGACGAGUCUGGGUGGGCAAAGCAGGCGCGGUGCAAGCUGCCACUGCUUGAGGCCGUACCGAGGUGGUCUGCGAGGCACAGGCGCAAGCCUGUGGCCCGACCGGCGCAAGCCGGGCGGGCGGCGCGCAAGCGUCGACCGAACAGCACCCUCGGGCGGCUGCGGGCGCCUUCGGCGCCCGACCCGCCCAGGGUGAAACGGGCAAUCUCUACGCGCAGCAACACCAAAUAGGCCGACGUUGACGUGGCUCGCGGAGUCGGCGGGUAGGUGGCAUCGAGCCGGGGUGAGAGCCUCGGCCCAGAGGAAUGGCGGUCGCCGGUCUCGAAAGAGGCCGGACACAGAAUCCGGCCUAUCGGGGCGCUUCACGA
rnacentral:RNase_P_RNA from 1 species